CAGUAGCCGCGGUAAUACGUAGGGUGCGAGCGUUAAUCGGAAUUACUGGGCGUAAAGCGUGCGCAGGCGGUGAUGUAAGACAGUUGUGAAAUCCCCGGGCUCAACCUGGGAACUGCAUCUGUGACUGCAUCGCUGGAGUGCGGCAGAGGGGGAUGGAAUUCCGCGUGUAGCAGUGAAACGCGUAGAUAUGCGGAGGAACACCGAUGGCGAAGGCAAUCCCCUGGGCCUGCACUGACGCUCAUGCACGAAAGCGUGGGGAGCAAACAGGAUUAGAUACCCGGGUAGUCCCUGUCUCUUAUAC
rnacentral:rRNA from 1 species